CCAACAGGGAUUGCCUUAGUAACGGCGAGUGAAGCGGCAAUAGCUCAAAUUUGAAAGCUGGCCCCUUCGGGGUCCGCGUUGUAAUUUGUAGAGGAUGGUUCGGCGAGGGCUCCCGUCUAAGUCCCUUGGAACAGGGCGUCAUAGAGGGUGAGAAUCCCGUAUGUGAUGGGCUGCCUUAGCCAUGUGAACCUCCUUCGACGAGUCGAGUUGUUUGGGAAUGCAGCUCUAAAUGGGAGGUAAAUUUCUUCUAAAGCUAAAUACCGGCCAGAGACCGAUAGCGCACAAGUAGAGUGAUCGAAAGAUGAAAAGCACUUUGGAAAGAGAGUUAAAAAGUACGUGAAAUUGUUGAAAGGGAAGCGCUUGCAGCCAGACUUGUCCGCAGUUGCUCAGCCUGUCUCCUGACAGGCGCACUCUUCUGCGGCCAGGCCAGCAUCAGUUCGGGCGGUCGGAUAAAGACCCGGGGAAUGUAGCUCCUCUCGGGGAGUGUUAUAGCCCUGGGUGCAAUGCGGCCAGCCUGGACUGAGGAUCUCGCUUCGGCUAGGAUGCUGGCGUAAUGGCUGUAAGCGGCCCGUCUUGAAACACGGACC
rnacentral:rRNA from 1 species